AUUGAACGCUGGCGGCAGGCUUAACACAUGCAAGUCGAGCGGAGUGAUGGUGCUUGCACUAUCACUUAGCGGCGGACGGGUGAGUAAUGCUUAGGAAUCUGCCUAUUAGUGGGGGACAACAUCUCGUAAGGGAUGCUAAUACCGCAUACGUCCUACGGGAGAAAGCAGGGGAUCACUUGUGACCUUGCGCUAAUAGAUGAGCCUAAGUGGGAUUAGCUAGUUGGUGGGGUAAAGGCCUACCAAGGCGACGAUCUGUAGCGGGUCUGAGAGGAUGAUCCGCCACACUGGGACUGAGACACGGCCCAGACUCCUACGGGAGGCAGCAGUGGGGAAUAUUGGACAAUGGGGGGAACCCUGAUCCAGCCAUGCCGCGUGUGUGAAGAAGGCCUUAUGGUUGUAGAGCACUUUAAGCGAGGAGGAGGCUCUUUUGGUUAAUACCCAAGAUGAGUGGACGUUACUCGCAGAAUAAGCACCGGCUAACUCUGUGCCAGCAGCCGCCGUAA
rnacentral:rRNA from 1 species